rnacentral:rRNA from 1 species
GACGAACCGUGCGAACGUUGUUCGGAAUCACUGGGCUUAAAGGGCGCGUAGGUGGCCCCUCAAGCGUGCGGUGAAAGUCAGGGGCUCAACCCCUGAUCGGCCGUGCGAACUGGGGAGCUUGAGCACUGUAGAGGCAGGCGGAAUUCCGGGUGUAGCGGUGGAAUGCGUAGAGAUCCGGAAGAACACCGGUGGCGAAGGCGGCCUGCUGGGCAGUUUUGCUGACACUGAGGCGCGACAGCGUGGGGAGCAAACAGG